GAUGAACGCUAGCUACAGGCUUAACACAUGCAAGUCGAGGGGAAACGACAGAGGAAGCUUGCUUCCUUUGGGCGUCGACCGGCGCACGGGUGAGUAACGCGUAUCCAACCUUCCCAUGUCCACGGGAUAGCCCGUCGAAAGGCGGAUUAAUACCGUAUGAGGUCACAUGCGGGCAUCUAAUUGUGACGAAAGGUUUAGCGGACAUGGAUGGGGAUGCGUCCGAUUAGCUAGUUGGCGGGGUAACGGCCCACCAAGGCGACGAUCGGUAGGGGUUCUGAGAGGAAGGUCCCCCACAUUGGAACUGAGACACGGUCCAAACUCCUACGGGAGGCAGCAGUGAGGAAUAUUGGUCAAUGGACGCAAGUCUGAACCAGCCAAGUAGCGUGCAGGAUGACGGCCCUAUGGGUUGUAAACUGCUUUUAUGCGGGGAUAAAGUUAGGGAUGUAUCCCUUUUUGCAGGUACCGCAUGAAUAAGGACCGGCUAAUUCCGUG
rnacentral:rRNA from 1 species